rnacentral:rRNA from 1 species
GAGGCCUACGGGGGGCAGCAGUGAGGAAUAUUGGUCAAUGGUCGGGAGACUGAACCAGCCAGGCCGCGUGAGGGAUGAAGGUACAGAGUAUCGUAAACCUCUUUUGUCAGGGAACAAAGGCGGGGACGUGUCCCCGGAUGAGUGUACCUGAAGAAAAAGCAUCGGCUAACUCCGUGCCAGCAGCCGCGGUAAUACGGAGGAUGCGAGAGUUGUCCGGAUUUAUUGGGUUUAAAGGGUGCGCAGGCGGUCUGUUAGGUCAGCGGUCAAAGCCCGGGGAUCAACCCC